rnacentral:rRNA from 1 species
GACGAGCGCUGGCGGCGUGCUUAACACAUGCAAGUCGAACGAGAGCGUAGAGAAAGCUUGCUUUUUCUACAAUCUAGUGGCAAACGGGUGAGUAACGCGUAAACAACCUGCCCUACGGAUGGGGACAACAGCUGGAAACGGCUGCUAAUACCGAAUACGUUCCGAAAGUCGCAUGACUAUCGGAAGAAAGGAUGGCCUCUAUUUAUAAGCUAUCGCCGGAGGAGGGGUUUGCGUCUGAUUAGCUAGUUGGAGGGGUAACGGCUCACCAAGGCGACGAUCAGUAGCCGGUCUGAGAGGAUGAACGGCCACAUUGGAACUGAGACACGGUCCAGACUCCUACGGGAGGCAGCAGUGGGGAAUCUUCCGCAAUGGGCGAAAGCCUGACGGAGCAACGCCGCGUGAGUGAAGACGGCCUUCGGGUUGUAAAGCUCUGUUAUACGGGACGAAUAAUCUUGUGGUUAAUACCCAUGAGAAGUGACGGUACCGUAAGAGAAAGCCACGGCUAACUACGUG